rnacentral:rRNA from 1 species
ACCGAAUAGAUACCCUGGUAGUCCACGCCCUAAACUAUGCGAACUGGAUGUUGGGUACAUUACGGUACUCAGUGUCGAAAGCUAAACGCGUUAAGUUCGCCGCCUGGGGAGUACGGUCGCAAGACUGAAACUCAAAGGAAUUGACGGGGGCCCGCACAAGCGGUGGAGUAUGUGGUUUAAUUCGAUGCAACGCGAAGAACCUUACCUGGCCUUGACAUCUGUCGAAUCCUGCAGAGAUGCGGGAGUGCCGCAAGGAACGACAAGACAGGUGCUGCAUGGCUGUCGUCAGCUCGUGUCGUGAGAUGUUGGGUUAAGUCCCGCAACGAGCGCAACCCUUGUCCCUAGUUGCCAGCACAUCA